CGGUCAGAAGAGAUGAAGCGGCGAGGACGGACGACGGAGUGUGGAGCGCCGGCUGCCGGGGACUGGGGAGGCCGCAGCGAAGCGGCGGUGGGGACUGGGGAAGCGACCGCGAAUAAAUGAGUCCAAUGGAUAACAACUGUUUCAGUGGGCUGGCCCGCUGGGGCUUGGUUGGACGAAAGCUCGUCCCAUACUCCCAUCUCAUAAAACCCACUCCCCAGUCCUCGCCGCGCGAGAAGACACAAAGCUGAAGGCGAGCGAAGCAAAGUAGUAGUAGCAGUGCCGUUCCCGUCCGCGACGCGCCUCCCGCCUGAGCCCGCACAACCGCGCCGCGUCAAUCCUCAUGUGGGCGUCCUGGGUGAAGGCGCACAGCUCUGACACCGCCGCCGCCUUGUAAUACCCGUGGCUACACCGGCGAGAUCAAUCCGGGAGCGUGAGUAAUUGCAGGGGAAAUCGAGAGGGGGAUAGGAUCUCACAGCCAGAGGAGGAAGACGAGCUUCCUGUGUUCCUCGGUCUUUCUUCUUUCUGAAUAAUUUCCUGUCCUCUGCAUCGAUGCCUCAGCUCCUCUUUGUCCUCGUGGUCUUUGGCUUCAGCAAUUGGGUUGGAUAGAGUGGGCUUCGGCCUUGGCAAAUGGGCAGGUAGGCUGGGCUUCUUCUGGGCCACACUUGGGUCAUGACAUUUACCGGCCCCUCGAAACACAGCUUGUCCCCAAGCUGUGGCCGUACUGAUGCCCGGAUCCCAUUGCAUCCGAACUGAUGGAUCAGAUGGUAAAUUGAUACCCAGCUCCAGAGCGACCUUAUGUGCAGCAGAAUCAAUUUGAUGUAGCUGCUCAACUUGUCCAGGACUGAAAGCAUUUCUUGCCCAUGGUUGCAACACAGCUUGUCCCCAUGCAACAUGAGUCCUUGCAAAGCAUACUCCUCUCUGCUCAUUGUCUCCUUUUCUUGUACCACCAAAAUGGUGAUCAGUUUGAAUCAUAUAUUGACAGGUCAAAACAAUGGGUUGUCCUCCAUGGUACUGCUCACAAAUUUUCAGAAUAAGAUCUUGUUCUGGCACCCUCACAAGUGAUUGAAUAUCCCACUCCUCUUGAAUACUGACAGCAAAACUGAGAUCAAAGUCAGGCUCAACAAUAGGGUCCAUCUUAUCAUCAUACACAUACUCUCUACCACUUGCUCGCUCCUGUGAUAGGCCAUCUUGCAAAUUGAUGUUGACAGGCAUCUCAUUCACGUGAUCUAUAGCAACCCCAAAGAGAAAAGGAGUGUUUAUCUCAAGAGUUAGCUCAUCACUCAUGCUUGCCUUGCAAACUGCUUUGCUAUCUUCAUCGAGCCCUUCCACAAAAACAUGGUCUGCAUCGACCAAUCCAAACUCUUUGAAAUCCGAGGAGUCAUCCACAACCUGCUCAUCAACUGGGUACUCCCCGCCAGAAACCAGCAGUCCCAAUAAGUCAUUGUCCAUGUCAAGCUCGGAUGACAUUUCCUCGUCCCAUACAACCUUGCCAAGUAUUUCAUCAUACACCUGUGCCUCGCUCUCAGACAACACUGUGCAGACCUUCUUGUACUGGGUCUGGUCCUCCACCUCAGCUAGCUGCUGCAAUAAGCCAUCAUGUGUGUUGCCAUCUGAUGCUAGUUCCUCAUCCCAUACGAUGUUAUCGAAAGGCAUUUUCUCACGAAAUUUCUCUGCAUCUUUGUUCUCUACCAUCUCAUUUUCAAGAGGCACCAUAGAAGCAGCAUUCACGUGAAGCUCUAAAGCAAACUGAGUGCUAUUAACAUGAGGUAACUCAUCAUGGAUGUCUGGAUCGGCAACUCGCUUGGUUUCCUUAUCAACUAUGGACUCUUCACCACGAGCUAGCAGAUCCAAUAAGCCUUCAGACCACCUCAGACAAGCCUCACACUCUACACCGCUGAUGUAGCAGCCACGACCAUGGUGAUCUGACCGCGCCCUCGAUGUGCAUGUCGACUGGAAGUCGAGCUCAACUCGACCCAUGCUGCGGAUCGACGUCUCUGAUGGGAAUCUGCGCUGCGUGCCUGCAGGAGUCGAGCGCCGCCGUCGCUCACUGCCUGUCGUACUCGCGAACCCGCCACCGGAGGAAGCGCCGACAGGAGUCACUGCAGCACCGGGGAGUCGUUGCCGCGGAACGAAACGGCGCCCGAGCCGAACCGGACCUCUGGAACCGCCGCAUGCGCCUCCAAUCGCCGCGAGGAGGGCCGAUCCGCGCGCGCCCGCGUCGGAUCCGUGUGCGGGGAGGCCGGAGAAGAUGCACCGCCGGCCGAAUCGAGGCCGGAGAGAUGCGUCGCCGGCGAGUGGGGCCCGCAGCGCCGCCGACUAGGGUUGGGCUUGCUGGAGCACGGGAAGAAGGGAGCAGAUGGGGCAGGGCGGGUCGGGGCUGGAUCAGGGCACCGCGCGUCGGAACGGCGCUCGAGCAACCCGUGCCCAGGAACACCAGCGAAGACGAGGUGGAGAGCACCGCCGCCGCUGCAACAGCACCGCUGCAACACCCACGCCGAGGAUAACUGGCUCUGAUACCACUGUAAUACCCGUGGCUACACCGGCGAGAUCAAUCCGGGAGCGUGAGUAAUUGCAGGGGAAAUCGAGAGGGGGAUAGGAUCUCACAGCCAGAGGAGGAAGACGAGCUUCCUGUGUUCCUCGGUCUUUCUUCUUUCUGAAUAAUUUCCUGUCCUCUGCAUCGAUGCCUCAGCUCCUCUUUGUCCUCGUGGUCUUUGGCUUCAGCAAUUGGGUUGGAUAGAGUGGGCUUCGGCCUUGGCAAAUGGGCAGGUAGGCUGGGCUUCUUCUGGGCCACACUUGGGUCAUGACACGCCUCCACCUCCACAGCCCUCGUCCCCGCCGCAGGCGCCGGCGCGUCCUCGCGCCUCUCCAUCCCCAACCCGUCUCUCAAG
rnacentral:lncRNA from 1 species